CUGCUGCUGCUGGGUGGCACUUACUAGAUACAAAAAAAGAGUAAGAACUACUAGCAAUUUGCAACCAAGGGUAAGACCGUGUGUUUUUCAAUGUGUCUGCAGGCAGGCGGUGGCAGGGAGGGUAAGAGGGACUCCUGGUGGCAGCGCUCGUUCCAGCUCAUCCACCUCGGCAAGCACAUAACCUGCACCAAUCCUCGUCUUGAAUCGGUGAUGAGGAGUAUUUUUCUCAAUAUUGCAGCAGUUAGGACUGCUGGGAACGCUUUCCAGUUCAAAGGAUGGAAGGAGAGGUAAGCAAAGGAGCAGAGCAAGGACAGUGCAGUCUUAACAGCCCUGUGUCAGCACAGGGUUUUUAGACUGAUGGCCGAUCUGAAGGCAUUUUGUUUAAGUAGCCUUUGCUAAAUUGAGAAAAAAUCCAAAAUAGCUUUUUUUUCUUUUUAAAUGAAAAGCAAAGCCUGCCUAGCUGGGAGUUUAGGACAAAGCCUGGGAGGAAGAAAAGGAGAAAUAAACCAUCACUGACUCCUUGAGACAGGGUAGGCACAGAAGCUGGUCUGCAAGUGGAGUACUUAUAGCUGGUGAGAAAUGAGAAGACACACCGCGGGACAGGUGAGAGACCUCAUCAAAUGCCUGCUUUGAACUGGGCAGAGAGAGGGUCUGAACCCGGCUCCCCAUAGCCCAGGAAAACAUAGUGGUCAUCAACACAUCCCCCCUUCUCCGAAGCUCCCUCACUCCCAGGUUUAUCGCCACACAAGUGUGCGUGUCUCGGGGUUAACCUCCCCUCGCAGGGCUCUAGACCGGCUCCACCUGCCCCGAGGUUAAGGGGGAAACAGGGUUUUCCCACUUCUGCUCAAAGCUGCUGUGCAUCAGUGCAACACAAUGCUUUGAAGGGCAGCUCCUCUUUCCUUCCAUACAGCAAGCUGCCGUGGCCUCCCAUCUGUACCAGGGUUUGGUUUUACUUUGAUAUUUUAUCCCUCUAAAGCUCUAUUAAUCUGUUUUAUUUCUGUCUAUCAUAGGAAUAAUCCUUUAUGUAAGCACAGCUUCUACAGUUGAAGUCCUCACUUUGCUUGAAGCAGAUUAGCUUUGCAAGACUAUCCCGCAUGAAGCACAGAACAAACCAAACAGCAAACAGCAGAGCCGUGGUGAUGUCAGAGGUCACAAAGCAUGAGUCAGACUCUCAAAAAAAGCCUGGUUUUUCUUGAAGAGAAAAACAAACUGAAGAAAACAACUCCCUCGCCACGAUGCAAUGUUUUGGAUUUGCCUCUUCAUUUCCUUGUCAGUCCCCUGUGGGUGUGGGAGACUCCCCAGCUCCCAGGCACCCCACGGGAGAUGGCUCAGCCCCCCCAGAGGGGACCCCUGUCCUCUGCCUCCAGCAGUACAGGCACCCUCAGCGGUCCCCACACCACCCCGGAUCACCGGCCUGCGCCCACAUCUACCCCCCCACGGGAGGAGCCAGGGCACCCCCACCACAGCUGGAGGAAGAAGGAGCCCCAGGGGUCCAGGAGCUUGCACCCACUUGCCAAACGAAGCACACAAGAAACGGAGGAAGCAGACGGCCAACUCCAGCGAGCCCAGCAGCAACGGCACAACAAGCUGUUGGGCUGUAUCUGCUCCAUCUUCCUCGUGGGAGGGUUUCGGGUCCUGCUGAGGACCUCCAGGUUUGCAUGCUGUCAAGCACAUUGCUUGCACUAAACAAAAGGACACUGAGCACUAACUGUUGCUGAUGGAAAGCUGCUG